GACGAACGCUGGCGGCGUGCUUAACACAUGCAAGUCGAACGGAAAGGCCCUGCUUUUGUGGGGUGCUCGAGUGGCGAACGGGUGAGUAACACGUGAGUAACCUGCCCUUGACUUUGGGAUAACUUCAGGAAACUGGGGCUAAUACCGGAUAGGAGCUCCUGCUGCAUGGUGGGGGUUGGAAAGUUUCGGCGGUUGGGGAUGGACUCGCGGCUUAUCAGCUUGUUGGUGGGGUAGUGGCUUACCAAGGCUUUGACGGGUAGCCGGCCUGAGAGGGUGACCGGCCACAUUGGGACUGAGGUACGGCCCAGACUCCUACGGGGGGGAGCAGUGGGGAAUAUUGCACAAUGGGCGGAAGCCUGAUGCAGCAACGCCGCGUGCGGGAUGACGGCCUUCGGGUUGUAAACCGCUUUCGCCUGUGACGAAGCGUGAGUGACGGUAAUGGGUAAAGAAGCACCGGCUAACUACGUG
rnacentral:rRNA from 1 species